UCCAGACUUUGAUUAUGGCUCAGGAUGAACGCUGGCCCCGUGCCUAAUACAUGCAAGUCGAACGAAACUUCUUUAUCACCGAGUGCUUGCACUCACCGAUAAAGAGUUGAGUGGCGAACGGGUGAGUAACACGUGGGCAACCUGCCCAAAAGAGGGGGAUAACACUUGGAAACAGGUGCUAAUACCGCAUAACCAUAGUUACCGCAUGGUAACUAUGUAAAAGGUGGCUAUGCUACCGCUUUUGGAUGGGCCCGCGGCGCAUUAGCUAGUUGGUGGGGUAAAGGCUUACCAAGGCAAUGAUGCGUAGCCGAACUGAGAGGUUGAUCGGCCACAUUGGGACUGAGACACGGCCCAAACUCCUACGGGAGGCAGCAGUAGGGAAUCUUCCACAAUGGGCGAAAGCCUGAUGGAGCAACGCCGCGUGGGUGAAGAAGGUCUUCGGAUCGUAAAACCCUGUUGUUAGAGAAGAAAGUGCGUGAGAGUAACUGUUCACGUUUCGACGGUAUCUAACCAGAAAGCCACGGCUAACUACGUGCCAGCAGCCGCGGUAAUACGUAGGUGGCAAGCGUUAUCCGGAUUUAUUGGGCGUAAAGGGAACGCAGGCGGUCUUUUAAGUCUGAUGUGAAAGCCUUCGGCUUAACCGGAGUAGUGCAUUGGAAACUGGGAGACUUGAGUGCAGAAGAGGAGAGUGGAACUCCAUGUGUAGCGGUGAAAUGCGUAGAUAUAUGGAAGAACACCGGUGGCGAAAGCGGCUCUCUGGUCUGUAACUGACGCUGAGGUUCGAAAGCGUGGGUAGCAAACAGGAUUAGAUACCCUGGUAGUCCACGCCGUAAACGAUGAAUGCUAAGUGUUGGAGGGUUUCCGCCCUUCAGUGCUGCAGCUAACGCAAUAAGCAUUCCGCCUGGGGAGUACGACCGCAAGGUUGCAACUCAAAGGAAUUGACGGA
rnacentral:rRNA from 1 species